GACGGAGGAUGCAAGUGUUAUCCGGAAUCACUGGGCGUAAAGCGUCUGUAGGUGGUUUAAUAAGUCAACUGUUAAAUCUUGAGGCUCAGCCUCAAAAUCGCAGUCGAAACUAUUAGGCUAGAGUAUAGUAGGGGUAAAGGGAAUUUCCAGUGGAGCGGUGAAAUGCGUAGAGAUCGGAAAGAACACCAACGGCGAAAGCAACUCUGCUGGGCCGACACUGACACUGAGAGACGAAAGCUAGGGGAGCGAAUGGG
rnacentral:rRNA from 1 species